rnacentral:rRNA from 1 species
GAUGAACGCUGGCAGCGUGCCUAAUACAUGCAAGUAGAACGCUGAAGGAGGAGCUUGCUCUUCUGGAUGAGUUGCGAACGGGUGAGUAACGCGUAGGUAACCUGCCUGGUAGCGGGGGAUAACUAUUGGAAACGAUAGCUAAUACCGCAUGACAACAGUUAUUGCAUGAUAACUGUUUAAAAGGGGCAACUGCUCCACUACCAGAUGGACCUGCGUUGUAUUAGCUAGUUGGUGAGGUAACGGCUCACCAAGGCGACGAUACAUAGCCGACCUGAGAGGGUGAUCGGCCACACUGGGACUGAGACACGGCCCAGACUCCUACGGGAGGCAGCAGUAGGGAAUCUUCGGCAAUGGACGGAAGUCUGACCGAGCAACGCCGCGUGAGUGAAGAAGGUUUUCGGAUCGUAAAGCUCUGUUGUAGGAGAAGAACGAGUGUGAGAGUGGAAAGUUCACACUGUGACGGUAGCUUACCAGAAAGGGACGGCUAACUACGUG